CUGUACUAAAGGGACUCAACCUGCACGGCUGUGUCCCUGUACUAAAGGGACUCAACCUGCACGGCUGUGUCCCUGUACUAAAGGGGCUCAACCUGUACGGCUGUGUCCCUGUACUAAAGGGACUCAACCUGCACGGCUGUGCUGCGCGGGCUGUGUCCCUGUACUAAAGGGGCUCAACCUGCACGGCUGUGUCCCUGUACUAAAGGGGCUCAACCUGCACGGCUGUGUCCCUGUACUAAAGGGGAUCAACCUGCACGGCUGUGUCCCUGUACUAAAGGGACUCAACCUGUACGGCUGUGUCCCUGUACUAAAGGGGCUCAACCUGUACGGCUCAACCUGUCACUAUACUGAUAAUCCAUCUCUAAAAGGACAUAUUUGGGUGUUUUGGAGCUUUUGUUCACGUCUUUUAUGUGCCCCGAUACUGCACAACGAGCAACGAGCAAUGAGGAAGUGUAUCAUGGCUGGGAGAAACGUAUGAAAAACAAGACAAAUCACACAAAAACUGUCUGGACCCUUCUAGAACAUGCCAUUUACACCAGAAUCAGAGAUCUUAUUCAGAAAUAGGAAAAUGCUCAUUUAACUGUGAUGGGAGUCGUCAACUGGACUACAGUGGUAUGAUGAUGAAACCAGUGGAGGCUGAGAGGAGGACAGCUCAAUAAUAAUGGCUCAAUAAUGGCCGGAACGGAGUAAAUGGAAUGGCAUCCAACCAUGUAUUUACAUACCAUUCCACUGAUUCCGCUCCAGCCAUUACCACAAGCCCGUCCACUCCAGUUAAGGUGCCACCAACCUGUGAAAUUGAAUGAAAUUGUAUUAUACAGCACAUUAUAUCAUAUUAUGUGUCCCAGCUAACAGAUAUUGGUUCCCAGAACACUGGGGAAGUUAUUUCAAACAACCAAAAGAGAACCUUUAGGGAACGUUCUGUGCUAGCUGUGGUGAUAUUGUUUGGUAUGAUGAUAUGACAUUCUCAUGAGACAUGAAGCUGUGAACUAGUCAACAAGACAGUGGUGGAGCUGAGUCUGGUGGCCCCAUUCCAAACGGAUCAUUAGCCCUUACUCCAAGGUUUUUGUUUAAAUACUGAUCCAAUCCAUUUAAAUCUUCUAGUGGGGCCAUCAACAAGGGCCUAAGUAAGGGGCCAGGGUUCAGUUUGAACUUGGGACCUCUUAAGUGCUUGCUAAAGAUCCCAUAGUAAUCAUAAUGGUCAAAAGAGUUGUCUUAGAAUGUGCCUGAAUUGGUGAGGAAUAAACUGUUCUCUACAGAUGACACUUCUACCAGGUGACACUACCUUGUUUCCAUUUCAAGAUUCCUGUGAUUUCAGUUAUUAGAUUUUUUUUAACUGUCAAACGUCCUGGUCUUCUGUAAUGAGAUGAUUCUGCUGCCAUCAGGGGACAAAGGAAGUUCAGUUAGGAAUAAAGACGGCUGAAUGAACACACGCUUGUUUAUUGCUCACCAAAGCUAGCUAGCAUAGUUUGGUGUCAGAAGUGGGAUCCAAAACCCUCGGUUGUCUUAACAAAGGAAUAAGAGUAUUAUUACUAGAGACUGAGAG
ensembl:lncRNA